AAUCGAUCCAAACCAUGAAUCAAUUGUGAUGGAAUUUUACUUGAGAGUUCUUGCAAAUGGUGACAUUUACCGGGCUGAUUAUGAAGGCCUUUAUUGUAUCAACUGUGAGGAGUAUAAGGAUGAGAAGGAAUUACUUGAAAACAACUGUUAACCCUUGCACCUAAAGCCAUGCAUCCCACGAAAGGAGGACAACUUCUUCUUUGCCUUAUUGAAGUAUAAAAAAUCAUUGGAAGAGAUUCUCAGUCAAAAUCCAAUCUUUGUGCAGCCUUCUUUUCGUUUAAAUGAGGUGCAUAGUUG